rnacentral:lncRNA from 1 species
CAUCGAGCUAAUGAUUCAUUGGACAUUCUAAUCUGUCUCAUGUUUUUUGAUCAAGCCUAUUGUCUUCCUGCCAGUUAAGGCAGAAGAUAAAACAGAGAGGAUAAGACAGAUAAGGGAAAAUCUUCUUGCCUUCAGUGAGUCUCCUGGAAAGUCAUCUUUACAUAUUUGGAGUAAACAUCAAGUUCUGAAGGAGAUAGGACACUAUAAUGCUCUAACAUCAGAUAAAUAAAAGAGCAGAAGCCAGUUCUAGGAAUAAAAUCUUCGGCUGACCAGAAAGACAGGUUAGUAACUACUCUCUUCUUCAAUCGCUCCGCACAACUGGCCUUUACUGUU